CGUCAUUUCAACCCUCAAGCUUAGCUUGGUAUUGGGUGUCACCUGGUAACAUUGGUGCACCUUAAAAUUAGUGGCGGUGCAUCAGGCUUCAAGCGUAGUAAUACUUUCGCUUUAGAAGCUCAGAUGCGUGCUUGCCAUCAACCUAUAAACUUUUUUCAAUGGUUGACCUCGGAUCAGGUAGGGAUACCCGCUGAACUUAA
rnacentral:misc_RNA from 1 species